GGAAGUAUCGUUCAAGUGAUAGAGCACUGGCCUAAUAAGCUAGAGGCCCUGGGUUUAAUCCCAGUACCACUA
rnacentral:tRNA from 1 species